AUGAUCUCACCAUUACAACUUCUGCCCAGGUGCUGGCCCCGCAGGUUUUGGGUUGGGUCUUAAUCAUUGUGUUAUGUUUUCGGCGGUGGAACCAAGGUCACUGUCCUAGGUCAGCCCAAGUCCACUCCCACACUCACAGUGUUUCCACCUUCUCCUGAGGAGCUCCAGGAAAACAAAGCCACACUGGUGUGUCUGAUUUCCGAUUUCUACCCAAGUGUUGUGACAGUGGCCUGGAAGGCAAAUGGUACACCUAUCACCCAGGGUGUAGACACUGCAAAUCCCACCAAAGAGGGCAACAAGUACAUAGCCAGCAGUUUCUUACAUUUGACAUCGGACCAGUGGCGAUCUCACAACAGUUUUACCUGCCAAGUUAUACAUGAAGGGGAAACCGUGGAGAAGAGCCUGUCUCCUGCAGAAUGUCAGUAG